UGUGACAUCACAGUGCUCCAAUGUGAAAUCACAGUGUUCCAUUGUGCCAUCACAGUGCUCCAUUGUGACAUGACAGUGAUCCAUUCUGUCAUCACAGU
rnacentral:miRNA from 1 species